UACGGAGGGUGCGAGCGUUGUCCGGAAUCACUGGGCGUAAAGGGCGCGUAGGCGGCGCGAGUAGUCAACGGUGAAAGCCCGGGGCUCAACCCCGGGUCGGCCGUCGAUACUCUCGUGCUUGAGCACCGUAGAGGCAGGUGGAAUUCCGGGUGUAGCGGUGGAAUGCGUAGAGAUCCGGAAGAACACCGGUGGCGAAGGCGGCCUGCUGGGCAGUAGCUGACGCUGAGGCGCGACAGCGUGGGGAGCAAACAGG
rnacentral:rRNA from 1 species